rnacentral:rRNA from 1 species
AGUGAACGCUGGCGGUAGGCCUAACACAUGCAAGUCGAACGGUGGCACAGUAAGUGCUUGCUCUAUCGGGUGGCGAGUGGCGGAUGGGUGAGGAAUACCCUGGACUUUACUUUUUCGUGGGCGUUAGCGAAGGGAAAUAUACGUUAAUACUGCUUCCGACCUCCGGGUGAAAGCAGGGGAGCUUUGGACUUUGUGCGGAUGAAUGCGCGGCUGUGGGAUUUGCUGGUUGGCGGGGUACAGGCCAACCCAGGCGACGAUCCGUAGCUUGUCUGAGUGGGUGAACAGCGACACUGGAACUGAGCCACGAUCCAGAGACCUACGGGAGGCAGCAGUGGGGAAUAGUGGACAAUGGGGGCAAUCCUGAUCCAGCCAUACCGCGUGGGUGAAGAAGGCCUUCGGGUUGUAAAGCCGUUUUGGUGGGAAAGAAAAGCAGCAGCUUAAAACCCGGCUGUUCUGACGGUACCCAAAGAAGAAGCACCGGCUAACUUCGUG